rnacentral:lncRNA from 1 species
GGGUGGCGCGCGGCAGCAGGGUUGGGCUCUCGCCGUGAGUCGACGAAGGGAGCGCGGGCGCGCGCCCGCGUCCGCGCACUGAGAGUCGCCUCGGCCGCUCGCUUUCUCGACUCCCGCCUCGCGCCUCGAUCCUGUUCCGCCUCCCUCGGCCCUCCUGCCCGCCCCCACUCGUCGGCCCUCAGGUUCCUGGAAAGUGAAAAUUUCAUUUCUUUGUGGACAGGUACCUAAAAUGUCUCAUUAUUCAUCAAUUAAUGAAAAACAAAUGAAAAUUUGAGAGAGAUAUUCUGAAGAAUAAAAGGAUCAAGUUGGGUCAUUUCUAAAAUCUCAGAGACCUAAUAGGAUGGGGUCUUAGAGAAACAUCUUUUGAGCCACAGACUUCUUUGUUACCAGAAGGAAAAUGAAAGAAGAAAUUUAAAUACCACUUGAAGAGAGCUGAUCGCCACCAACUGGCCUCUGGGUGGAUUUGGCCAAUGGAAGCACCUGUAGAGGGAAGAGAGUGAGGUUAGGAUAUUUCUUCCUGCUGUCUCCGUGCUUCCCUGCAGAGAGUGUGAAGAAAUGACCCUGAAAAGCCUCUGGCAGAGGAUUCUUCUUUCAGGAUGGUGUCGCCUCCUCAGCAGCCCAUCCUCCUCCCCUGGACUCAAGCUCUCAUUCCAGUAACACUCCUUCCUCCUUCUCCAUCUUCAGGGGGAGGUUUGCCAGUCGGUGGGUUCUAAGCAUAUCUCGCUGAUUCCCCCCAACCCUGCCGACACCUCUGUAGGUCGUCCCUUCAUUAAAAUCUCUCCAUUUGAACUAUCUGAGUUUAAUUCCAUUUCCUCCUGGUAUCUCAGUGAUACACGGUAUCAGUACAAAAAUCUCGCUUCACCUUCAGAACCAACAGAUUUGAGACAUUUUAUCCUCUGUGGAACCAUUAGUUAUUUUGUCAUUGGUUGUAUCAGAAAAAAAAAUCAGGAAUGCAAAUCCUUCUUUAUUACAGAUUCAGAUUUGCAUAUUACCAAUGUUAUAUAUUUUAAACAAAACUAUUCAUCAUAAGUUUUAAAAAUUAACUACUGGAGUAGUUAAUGAAUCUGAAUGUAAUUAUGUAGCUUUCAUAAUAUUAAAGUAAAAAUACUAAAAGAAGUAUUUCUUAAAGAAGCAAAUGCUCAAUCUCCAAGUAAAUUUUAUUCUAUGCUCUUCCGGUAUAAGAAUAUGUUAAUAUCUUGAAAAAUAUCAUAUUAUUUUGUGAACUCAUAAAGCUAUUUUGAGUUUUUGUAAAAUGAAAACCUUACCAAAAUGUAUUUUAUUGUUGGAAAGCUUGACCGUUACUGCUGUUUAAUUUUUUGAGCUUGUAAACUUUAUUUGUGCAUGUUUUCAACAAAGAAGGAUUUUAUUGUUAUUACAUAAAACAGGUGAUUUCUAGAUUUUAAAAUCACAAAUUGAAAGCAAGGCACAAUAAUAUAUAUUUCAAGAUAUAGGUACUUAGGAGGCAUCCUUUUAGUCAUCUGUUCAAUGUAGCCAUCUAUUUUACACCUACUGUCUACUAUUGUUUGAGGUCCUUGCCAAAGUAUUGCAGGCUAGUUAGGAAACAUAAAACAAUUAGAAAGUAAUCUAUGACAAGUAAGCUAUCUAUAAAUGGCAAUGAAGGGUAGAACAAAUUCAAUGAAAAUAUCUAUUUAAUCCUAGUGUUUACUGGUCUAGAAGAAUAGGCUGAGUAAAUUAGUAUUUCUCUGGCUGUUGUGGUAACACAUUGCAUGCUAUAACAGUUUUAAGUAAUUACAGGUGCAUUGAAAUUUAUCUAUGGCUUUGUCAUCAUAUUCUAAAAUGUCAUGAGUACUUUUUUCUGACCUCAAUUACUAUGAAAUUGGUUUCCAAUAUUUAAUUAACCAAGAAUAUCAAGUCUAUAGGGUAUUAUUAAGGUGAGACUUCUGUAGCCUUUUCAAUAAAGACCAGAAUUUUGGAGUGCCUUGAACCUUAAUCAUUGAUCUUUAAUUCUUAUUAAGUCAACUGCCCACCUUUUAAAGACUGAGGCCCAGGAAGAGUAAGUUUCUCUGAGACAAUGCAUACAGUACAGUGCUUCUUGGGUAUUGGCUCUAAGACCAGAUGCAAAGAAAGGCUAAAAUCCCAUUUCAUUGUUCAUUAGGUGAGAACCCUUUGUUAAGCUGUGUAACCUCUGUGCAUAGUUUCCUCAUCAGCAAAGUCAGAAAAAGUAUGUACCUGAAGGACUGAUUGUAAGGCUGGGAUGAGAGAAUCCAUGUGAUCAGCCCUCACCAACAGGUGCUGCCCAGUUCAUGAGUGCUGCUGCUGUCCUGCCCAAGUACCCAGCUUGCAGAGUGCCAGAGUUAGAGUCCCAGGGGUGUUCUCCACAGCUGCAUGCUUGAUCCAGGCCUAUCAGAUAUAUUCCAUUGAAAGUCCUCAUUCUCAAAUUUAAAACAAAGACUUUUUGUGUACCUCAAUAGCAAUGCACACACAGUUGGCUUCACAAACAUAUUGUACAUUUCUUUUUUUCAUAUUUAUUCAACAAAUGUAUAUUGACUACCCACCGUGUGACAGGUGUUAUUUGUUGACGGAACCAGGCAUCAUCAGCAAACAAAACUGACAAAGCUUCCUGCCCUCUGUGGAAGGCAUCUGAGGAAGAGACUGGAUUUUGUAGCAACAUGUUAUUCUCAUUAUAAACUUUAUCAUUGGAAUACUAAAGCCAAAUCAUCCCCCAUCUCCUUGAUCAGGAUACCCACUUAAUCUAGGCAGCUACACAAUUGUGAGAGCCUUUGUUUUUUUCUGCUGAAACAUCCUUAAAAAGAUACCUCACAACCCAAGAUUUGGCUUUUCUUAAAUACGAUUUUUAAUUUUUUUCAUUUCUAUCUAGAGAUUUAAUUGGAAAUGGAAAAUCAUCAAUUUUCCAAUUAAAUGUCUGUUCCAAUCAACAUUAUACCUUUUAGGUUGUCAUUGUCAUUUUUAAGUUUAAGCAACUUUAAGGAUUUUGAAUCUGGCUGCCUGUAAAUUAAAGGUGAAAGUAAUCA